rnacentral:rRNA from 1 species
AGUGAACGCUGGCGGUAGGCCUAACACAUGCAAGUCGAACGGCAGCACAGUAAGAGCUUGCUCUUACGGGUGGCGAGUGGCGGACGGGUGAGGAAUACAUCGGAAUCUACUUUUUCGUGGGGGAUAACGUAGGGAAACUUACGCUAAUACCGCAUACGACCUACGGGUGAAAGCAGGGGAUCUUCGUACCUUGCGCGAUUGAAUUAGCCGAUGUCGGAUUAGCUAGUUGGCGGGGUAAAGGCCCACCAAGGCGACGAUCCGUAGCUGGUCUGAGAGGAUGAUCAGCCACACUGGAACUGAGACACGGUCCAGACUCCUACGGGAGGCAGCAGUGGGGAAUAUUGGACAAUGGGCGCAAGCCUGAUCCAGCAAUACCGCGUGGGUGAAGAAGGCCUUCGGGUUGUAAAGCCCUUUUGUUGGGAAAGAAAAGCAGCAGGUUAAUACCCCGCUGUUCUGACGGUACCCAAAGAAUAAGCAACGGCUAACUUCGUG